rnacentral:lncRNA from 1 species
GAGGGGCCAGUUUAGGAGAUGAGGGGCCAGUUUAGGAGAUGAGGGGUCAGUUUAGGAGAUGAGGGGUCAGUUUAGGAGAUGAGGGGCCAGUUUAGGAGAUGAGGGGCCAGUUUAGGAGAUGAGGGGUCAGUUUAGGAGAUGAGGAGUCAGUUUAGGAGAUGAGGGGCCAGUUUAGGAGAUUAGGGGCCAGUUUAAGGAGAUGAGGGGCCAGUUUAGGAGAUGAGGGGGUCAGUUUAGGAGGUCAGGAGGAAUCAAAGAUGGGGUCUCUCUCUCUCUCUCUCUCUCACCUUCUUCCCAUCGUCCGUCUUGGUGAUAACAGGGUUCUCUUCAUUCUCUCUCGCUCCGCCCACUGACGACUCCGUCACAACAUCCCUGCAGGACAGGAAGCGGUUAACGUCAACAGGAAGUGUGAGUUUAGGCGUGUGUCUAUAUUAAAGGUGUGUGUUUA